rnacentral:rRNA from 1 species
AGCGAACGCUGGCGGCAGGCUUAACACAUGCAAGUCGAGCGGGCAUAGCAAUAUGUCAGCGGCAGACGGGUGAGUAACGCGUGGGAACGUACCUUUUGGUUCGGAACAACACAGGGAAACUUGUGCUAAUACCGGAUAAGCCCUUACGGGGAAAGAUUUAUCGCCGAAAGAUCGGCCCGCGUCUGAUUAGCUAGUUGGUGAGGUAAUGGCUCACCAAGGCGACGAUCAGUAGCUGGUCUGAGAGGAUGAUCAGCCACAUUGGGACUGAGACACGGCCCAAACUCCUACGGGAGGCAGCAGUGGGGAAUAUUGGACAAUGGGCGCAAGCCUGAUCCAGCCAUGCCGCGUGAGUGAUGAAGGCCCUAGGGUUGUAAAGCUCUUUUGUGCGGGAAGAUAAUGACGGUACCGCAAGAAUAAGCCCCGGCUAACUUCGUGCCAGCCGCCGCCGUAA